rnacentral:rRNA from 1 species
GGAAUAUUGGGCAAUGGGCGCAAGCCUGGCCCAGCAACGCCGCGUGAAGGAAGAAGGUCUUCGGAUUGUAAACUAUUGUCGUUAGGGAAGAAAAAGGACAGUACCUAAGGAGGAAGCUCCGGCUAACUACGUGCCAGCAGCCGCGGUAAUACGUAGGGAGCAAGCGUUAUCCGGAUUUAUUGGGUGUAAAGGGUGCGUAGACGGUUAUGCAAGUCUGGAGUGAAAGCCCGGGGCUCAACCCCGGGACUGCUUUGGAAACUGUAAAACUGGAGUGCAGGAGAGGCAGGCGGAAUUCCUAGUGUAGCGGUGAAAUGCGUAGAUAUUAGGAGGAACACCAGUGGCGAAGGCGGCCUGCUGGACUGUAACUGACGUUGAGGCUCGAAGGCGUGGGGAGCAAACAGG